UACAGAGGGUGCGAGCGUUAAUCGGAAUUACUGGGCGUAAAGCGCGUGUAGGCGGCUCGAUAAGUCUGCUGUGAAAGUCCAAGGCUCAACCUUGGAAUGCCGGUGGAUACUGUCGAGCUCGAGUCCGGAAGAGGCGAGUGGAAUUCCUGGUGUAGCGGUGAAAUGCGCAGAUAUCGGGAGGAACACCAAUGGCGAAGGCAGCUCGCUGGGACGUUACUGACGCUGAGACGCGAAAGCGUGGGGAGCAAACAGG
rnacentral:rRNA from 1 species